ACUCCCCAGGCGGGGUACUUAUUGCGUUAACUCCGGCACAGAAGGGGUCGAUACCUCCUACACCUAGUACCCAUCGUUUACGGCCAGGAUUACCGGGGUAUCUAAUCCCGUUCACUCCCCUGGCUUUCGCGCCUCAGCGUCAGACACAGUCCAGAAAGUCGCCUUCGCCACUGGUGUUCCUCCUAAUAUCUACGCAUUUCACCGCUACACUAGGAAUUCCACUUUCCUCUCCUGCACUCAAGAAAUGUAGUUUCCAUCCCAUCACGGGGUUGAGCCCCGAACUUUUAAGACAGACUUACAUUCCCGCCUGCGCGCGCUUUACGCCCAAUAAUUCCGGACAACGCUUGCCACCUACGUAUUACCGCGGCUGCUGGCACGUAGUUAGCCGUGGCUUCCUCCUCAGGUACCGUCAUUACUUAACAUUAUUCACAUUAAGCACAUUCGUCCCUGAAGACAGAGCUUUACGAUCCGAAAACCUUCUUCACUCACGCGGCGUUGCUCCGUCAGACUUUCG
rnacentral:rRNA from 1 species